ACUCCUACGGGAGGCAGCAGUGGGGAAUAUUGCACAAUGGGCGCAAGCCUGAUGCAGCAACGCCGAGUGAGUGAAGAAGGUUUUCGGAUCGUAAAACUCUGUCCUAAGGGAAGAAAAAAUGACGGUACCUUAGGAGGAAGCCCGGCUAACUACGUGCCAGCAGCCGCGGUAAUACGUAGGGGCAAGCGUUAUCCGGAAUCACUGGGCGUAAAGGGUGCGUAGGCGGCUUAGCAAGCCAGGGGUGAAAGGCAUUGGCUCAACCAAUGUAAGCCUUUGGAACUGUUAAGCUUGAGUGCAGGAGAGGUAAGUGGAAUUCCUAGUGUAGAGGUGAAAUUCGUAGAUAUUAGGAGGAACACCAGUGGCGAAGGCGACUUACUGGACUGUAACUGACGCUGAUGCACGAAAGCGUGGGUAGCGAACA
rnacentral:rRNA from 1 species